rnacentral:lncRNA from 1 species
UUUGACUAAUGCACCUUCUCUCCUGUCCAGCUGCCAUGCAGAGUGCCUGCCUUCUGUCUCCGUAUCUCUGCUCAUCUGCCAUCUCCCACAGGUGAUUUUUGACUGUUUCUGUUUACUAUCAACUUUUCAUGACAUUCAGCAUCCCCUCCACAACCCCACCCCAUGUCACGCUGUGGUGAUGAAGUUGUGUGCAAGAGUUGUGAGGAACAGGGAAGUUUCUUUUACAAUGAAGUUUCAAGGUAAAGCAUAUCCAGGCAGUAAAAGAACAGAAAGUUGAUUCUGUAAUUCACUUUUCCAUGAAGCUUCAAGGGUAAUCACUGUGUGGUUGCCUUUGAGACCUGAGGUCAUAUACUAAAGCUAUUACAAAUGAUUUAAUAAAUACAUAUUUAAUUAUUGAAUCACGUUGAGUGCACUAUUUAAUUUCCUUACCACAGAUGGCACGCAAUUACUAGAUUUACUCAGGUUUCUCCAAAUGAUUUCCAUUAGCGUAUAUUCUCAUUCUUUUAUUCCCCUAAAGUUGAAAAAACUCUUUAGACAAUUACCCCAGAGAGUUACCAAAUAUUAAAAAAAAAAAAAGAAACAAAACCAUACAACAGCAAAAAGCAUAUGGAACUAUACUCUCUAAAAACUGCAUUGCAACACACAAAUUUACUGAAUAGCAUUUUUAGGAAAAUAUGAGAAUGAAAACUAGAGUUAAGUUCUUAUAUUUUAUAUUAAAAUGUUAUAAGGUUUUAUUCUAUGUGAUGAUCAUCAGUGCAAUACAGACCAAUUGACAAGCCUGUUCUGUAUCAAAUUUUCAGGAGGGAAAUGAAGAGAAGAAAUUAGGAGAUUUCUCCAAAAUCACAGCCAGCCACUCCAUGUUGCUGACUGACAUCCAAUACUGCUCAUAUUGUAUAUGCACUGAGUGUCAGGCAGUCUACGUUACAAGCACCAGUUUUUCUUCACAAGAACCCAUCAAAGUGUUACAGUUAUUAUCUUCAUCUUACAGAUGGGAAAUUGAGACACAGAGGGAUUAAGUAGUUUUCCAAGUCAUUCAGCUUGUAAUGUAGGAGAGAGAUUUGGUCCAAGCAGUCAGAUUCUACUUUCAGUGCUGUCACCACUGUGUUACAUAACAACACCCCACCUGUAAGCUAGUGUUUCUGAUUUCCUUAGCUAAUUUCUACUAGUUUCCCCCUGGAUGAAUGGUAGGGUCUAUUGAUUAUAGCCGCUUUAAAAAAAAAAAUCUACAAACAAGAGUAGGUUAUUAAAACAGCUAUGGGUAAUAGGACAUUUCCUACCAAUUCUGUAAGGUUCGGUUACUUAAGAAGAAUGAGUUGGGUUUACACUGUACGUGAAUGCAGCUCUGAAAUUUUUCUUAAAUCUAUUUGGACCUAAUCUGAACUAUUUUUAAAAAAUUAAAUUAAGAUUGUGCCUAUAUCGCAUGCCUCAUUUUGGCCAUAGUUAGAGGAUUCUCAGUUAAUAUUUGUUGCUGCUCAGUUGCAAAAGCUUCCUUAAACCAUGGUCUCCUAUACAUACCCAUCGUCAUCAUUGAUUUUAGUUUUGUCUUUCUAAAAUUAGGGUAAUCAUUUUCAGUUAUGUUGUAUUUGUCCUUUAAUUUUUUUUUUUUUUUGUCUUUUGUCCUUUUUAGGGCCACACCUGCAGCAUAUGGAGGUUCCCAGGUAUGGGCCUAUAAAGACAAAAGACAAAAAAAAAAAAAAAAAAGAUCUCCUAUUUUUUAGUGAAUUGAUUUUCCAUUAUGUGCAUUUAUAAGUAUGUUGGUGAUUGUCUAUUAAGUGAAAAAAGCUACAUGGACAGAAUUUGUAGCACUGGAGAAAGGAUUGUGUGCUGUGGCUGUUUAUAAAAACAAGGCAGCUUGCUCUACAUAUUAGAAGAAGCUAUGUUCUAGCAUAUUGGCCCAGCAUCUUCAUUUCUUUAGGAGUUUAAAAUUAGUUUAAGUAGUACAGUCCAAAUGAUGCUUUUGUUGUUUUGUUGUGGUAUGUAAUUGGUUAAUUGGACUUUAAAAUUAUACUUGUUAAGGCAAUAAUUAUUGUGUUAAUCAUAGAAGUAGGGGGUAAAUAUUUCUGUUCCCAACACCAAAUAUGAACAUAUUAAUGGAUUUUUCCCUUCAUUUAUGUAUCUAUUCUCAACAAUAAAAAUAACAACAAAAGGUACUCUUUUGAACAGCUUCUCUAUAAUUAGAUUUUGGCUCACUCACUCUUCACUUCAUGAUUUCAUGGUUGGGUUAGUAGGCGUACUUUUUAACUUACUUUUAAAAUGUAAAACCAUGCUGGUAUGUGUGUAUGAACUAUAUUUGAUUGAAUAGAAGUUUGUGUGCCUUUACAGAUUUGAGAAAAAAAUACAUAUAUAUGAUGAUUAUGAAACAUAUCAGGUGUGUAAUUAUAUACAUAAAAAAAUCACAUUAUUAAAUCUGAGGCCUGAUUCAGCGAAAGUACUCAUACAUGUGACUGUACACUGAUUUAAAUAAUAUGUAUAUUAUUUGUAUAUUAUUUUACCCACACUACUACCACUCACAGUCCUAGUUUUAUCAUAUAAUUAAUGUAUUUCCUGAAUUUUCUUCAUUGUUAUAAAAGGUUUAUAUGGUAUAUAUGUAUAUGCAUAUAUUUUAUACAUAUGGAUAUACCAUCAUAGUAUAAAGAUUAGUCAACAUGAAGACAAUGACAAUAACACCUCUGAUUUUUUACCAUUUUAGUAGACAUUAGCAAUAUUUUUUUGGAAUACACUAUUUUCUUGUUCCAAACUCAGGCUUACUAGAUUUUAUGUAGAUGGAUCUUGUGCUGUUUCUUUCUCUUUUUGUCACAUGUUUUGUUUGGGAGGAAGGAAGGAAGGAAGGGAGGCAAAAAGGGUAAGAGGGAAAGAAAGAUGGAAGAUAUCAGAAGAAAGCAAUGAAUACUGUGUCCUGCCAUUUAAUCCACCUCAUACUUAUUUUAACCUUUUCCUCAUAAACAACAGCAUAACUAAGUCUUAUAUAAUGUUAGCCAAAUAUAAGCCUUCAGAAAAUAAUUUUUCCGGAUCAUAGCUAUUUUAACUGCCUAUGUUGGUGAAAUAUAAGAAUCAACUGGCUUGCUGAAUUGAAGAUAUAAGAUUUUAGGAACAUUGCAAGCAAAGACCAAUAUAUUCAGAUAUGAACCAGACGUUAUUUAUUUUUAAGGGCCUUCACAUAGUGAGAGUGCCUUUAUUCCAAAUUGAAAACCCUUUUUGAGUUUGAAAAAGACACUCUUCUAGCUUGAACACCUACUGACAUUAUUUUCUAAAUGUUAAAAUUGACAGCAGAAAGCUACUGCUGUUUUCUGUAACUCUGUGAAAAUCUUUGCCCACUUCAGCCUUCUCAAUUGCAAAGCUAGUCCAGAUGGGACCAUGAAAUUUUUGCAGCAAGUUCUACAGCACAUAAUUUUGUUCAAUAAAGUUAUUAUGCCACACACAGCUGUAUACUGCCAUAUAAAUGAGCACAUGUGCAAUAGAAUUCUUGCAUUAUAAGUUUUAUAAGACUAAAAUUGAGAUUAUACAGCCAUACACAAUAAUUUAUUUGAAACAUCAACAUGUGCCUUGCUCUAGGGUUAUACAAAUGGUGCCAUUUCUUUUCCAAGAGAAAACGUUUGUCAUUUAAUAUUCAGUAUUAACACAAAUGUUUUCCUCAGAAUUAUAAUCUAAAUUAGGUGCUUUAAAAUACAUCAAUAUAUCAUUAACUUCUUACUUUAACAUAUUAGAUCUAUAGAAGAAUCAAUUCUCCCUAACAAUAGUGAAAGAACCUAAUCACUCUCUAAAUUUGCUUUUAAUUAGCAUCAUCUGCAUUAAUUGGUGUAGCUGAUAGCAAAACAUUACAAUGCAUUGCUAUUUUAUUUUUGAAAUGUAAUAUAUCUUUGGUCCCCUGUCUCGCCAAAGGAACCUUAGCCAUUUUUUCCUGCAAUGUCUUAGUAAAUAUUUUCAGAUGUAUUGCUCAAGAAUUUUCUCUAAGAAACUAACUAUAUGAGGCUAUUUUUAGGGAUAGCACUAUUCAAAUAAAUUUACAGGUAACUAUUUGGCCUUGACUUCCUCUGCAUGUUUGAGAAUAUCCUGAGAAAUACUCCUUCUUCAUUCCUCUAAUUCACUAAUUCUCAGUCAAAUUUUUGAGUGUUGCAAAAGAAAUGCUGUGUAAUCAGCAAGCUGCUGAGAAGGAAGAAAGGAAUCUACAAUUUAUGCUGUGUUGUUUUGCACACAUUAUUUUUUCACGGUAAUUAUUAAACACAGGUAAUAUUUCCUGGUGGGGAAAAGUGAAAAAAAAAUAAUAACAAAAGUAAAAUAAAAGCCUAGAGCUCUGAGAAGUUAACAGAACUAGCCUUCAUAGCCAGAUGGUGUUAUAGAUGUUCUCGGUCAUUGUCAUUGCCAUAGUUCAGGUCCUCUGACCCCAAGUC